rnacentral:ribozyme from 1 species
UGCCCAGCAACUUCUAUCCCUACCGCCUCGCGGUACUGACCGGGGUACGAGUAACAUCAGGGAAAAUCGGGUAACCAACCCGAAUAUUGGUCGUAUGCUGACAGGGAAGG